CCCAAGCAGGCUCUGUGCCAUCAACGCAGAGCCUGUUGUGGGGCUUGAACCCAUGAACUGUGAGAUCAUGACCUGAGCUAAAACCAAGAGUUGGACGCUUAAUGGACUGAGCCACCCAGGCACCCCCAAAAAGGUGUUCUUUAAUCAGAGUUUCAUAGUGGUGAUUCAGAGACCCAGCCUCCUUGUACCCUGUCGCUCUGCCAUGUGGCUCUGCCAUCCUCUCUGUGUGGCUUCCAAAGUGGUUUCGUUUGUUGCAUGAGGACAGUGGAUGUGGAAAGAGCACAGAUUACUGUGCACAGAAGUUCCAUGGACCAGACCUAUGAGUGGUACACAUCCCUUAUAUCCCCUUGUUAGAGUUCAAUGUUGUAGCUAUAUAACUCCAAGGGAACUGGAUGUGAGAGGUCCAAGUGUGUGUCUAGGAAAGACUAGGAAUGUGGCCAGCGGUCUUGACCCCAAGGUGGCUUUGCUGCACCUCUAUGUUGAAAAGCACAACGAAUUUGGCAGCAUUAGAGUGUCCUGUGAGAGGGGAUGUGUUAUUUUGGGUAUAGCCUCAGCAAAAUGGCCUGAAAGUUCUGGCUAGAGUAUUUUGUGGAGCAAAAUAGGAGCAGGUUUCUGAAGGACAGAGAAGUAAAGGCGUGGUCAGGAGAGAGAGCGUCAGCACUGUUCACAUGUCUGGGGUCCUUCUCCCUUCUGUAAACUUAUGAGUCUCAUAGGUUGGCUUUUAGUUGGUGAAAUCUCUGCACCUGACCCAGAGUCUCAGCAGGGCACGGGGCACAUCUUCUUCAUAGCUUUGCCGUGGACUGUGGACAGGGGUGGAAGGCCACUGGGCCUUGGGCUCCCAUUUUUCGACCUCAUGUUCACUUGGCCUGCAGGAUCAAACACAUAAGACUCAGCAGUCAGCAGGUUAGAGAAGAGGGUGGAAGAGAGAUGGAGAAGCUGACCAUUGGGGCAAAAGCAGAACACUUUUCUUUUCUCUUGAUCUCUACUCUUUCCCUCAUUUCCCCCCACUGAAUGUAACUUUCCCUCUAAGAGAGUAUUUGUGCAGAUAUCCUCCCUCCUGGGUCCCCUCCAUCAUCCAUGUUAUGUAAAAUGUCAUUGAGGAACAUGCUGUCCAGAAGCUCCGUGGGGAGAAGAGUCACAGGGCUGCCCUCCAGGACAGAUAUGAAGGAGGUGACAUUGUUGGGUACCUUUGCCUUUCAUUUUGUGUUUUUCCGGCAGGUGCCUUUCCUGAGCUUACUUCUAGCUCUCUUGGUUGGAAAAAUACCUGAUAAAGGAAUCUCUCUAAGAUCUUCACUUUUGUGUGGGGCAACAGAAGAUGAUUUUGGACAAUUUAAGAAGGGAAAUUUAUCAGGAACUCAGCACAUCAACUGGAAAGCUGAGACUCAGGCUUGCAUUGCCAUGUCACAUGAAGCUGCUUCUCCCGAUGAAGCAGAGAUUGAAAUGUCACACCAGCACGAUCAAUUAGAUGAUGUAGAAGAGAGGCAUUUGCUACCUGACCUUAAUCCACAGGGCAAGAAGGGCUGAGUGGAGAAGACGAAAUACAGAGAGACUCAAAGGCAGAGGAAACGGGCAGAGCAUAGUUUAAAUAGGCACAAAGCAGCAUAAAUGUUGAUUCAUGACAAAAAGGGCAUCCUCAGGUUAAAGACUUCUUAUGAUGUAUACUGGUGCACUCACUCGUUCAACUCGGAGUGAGUACAAAGUAAAUAUAAACACCUUUCACACAAGGAAUAUGACAGAAAAGGAAGUAGGAUCCAUUUGGUUGCUUCCGAGUUCAAUUGUGAGAUAUCUAUUUAUCACAGCAGUGGAAAACCAGCAGGAGGUUCAGAGGAAAGCCAUGGAAACAUGAGGACCGGGAAAAUGAAAUGCAAACAAGUAUCCUGGGGAGGUGAGGUUGAAGACAAUGUUUACGCUUGUUUGCAUGUCACUUUUCCUAGCACGGCUACUCAAAUGCGUAUAUGUUGAUUAACUUGUGGACAACUGGCCCUGGUCUUCUGGUUUGUGAAGGCUAAUGGGGAGGAUGUUUUCUGCUGAGACACGGGUGGGAGCCUCAGGAUGGUCACGUAGUAGGUACUCCAUAGUCAACAAAUAUUCAUUGUAUCAAAUUGAAUUCAAUGGUAGUUUCAAUACGGGCGUCCUGCUGAUAGUAAAGAUCAUUAAACUUUAAAAUGUGUUCCCGAGGAACACGGUGGCAUCUUCAUUUGAGAACAUCUUUGAAAUUGGGUAGCUAAUUAUCUGUUUAGAAUAAAAGCAGAGAUAGUUCUGAGUACUUCAUAAGGACUCAUACAGUUCUUGAUUUCAGUUGUGUGCUUUGCUUGUGUGUAAGCAAAGCACUAAGUCCUUAACUCAGGGGUGAAAUAACACAUGCAUAAAAGACGACUAGGUAGAAAGAAUCUUCUUAUUUGAAAUCAUCCUUUUCCUCUAAUCGAAAGGUAUAAGGUAGUCCUGGUUCUGCACUGUCAAAUUUUCCGAUAAAGUAUUAUCGCCUAUGUUCCUGAGAGUGCCCAGCAUGUGUUACAAAUCUACCUUUGUCUCUGGGAGAAAUUGAUUCUGGGGAACAAAGGAUAGAAUAAAAAUUUGACUUUUGUUUAAAAAGUAAUUGCUGGAGGACAUACUGUUCCAGAACAAAUAGUGCCAAUAAGAGUUAAUAGUUUCAAGUUGGAGGAUGUUUAUAAUGGUACCAUUGGAGAAAUUUUCUGUGCUGCUUUUUCUGGUUGAUGAAUACUAUGGUAGACAUUUCAGAGAAGGCCACUUCUCCAGGAUCCAUUAUCUCCCUUUUCCUACUACCUCCAUUUUCAGCCAGGAAGUUUCGGUGACAUUGACCCUGCCUCCAGUUACCUAUUCAGGUGGCUCUGUUAGGCUUAGUCUCAUUGGCAUAUCCCAGUCUCCCUGUCCACAUGGGAAGAGCAUGUGACACCAUCAGGCCAAUGAGAGUGUGAAUUCUAGAAGAGACCUUCUCUUCCUCUGGAUGGUAUAGAGAGGAGAUGUGAGGGCUGACACUGCUGCAGCCAUUUUACUACUGGGAGGGAGAGCCCAGAUCCUGGAGAUGAAGCUUACUAGCUCUCUGUUCUUUAGUUUCCUCAUCUUUGAAAUGGAGAUGAUAAUAAUACUUUCCUGUAGGUUUGU